rnacentral:sRNA from 1 species
AAAAAAAAUUUGAAGAGAACACAAAGCAUUAAAAUACUAAAAAUAAACAUAUUUUUUGUAAGAAUAUGUUGGUUCAUAAUAACCAUCAUCUCUCUCUUGUAUGGAAUCUCUCUUAAGCGUUUUUCACGAUUGAGUUCCUUAUUCUCCACUGAGUCAACUAACCAACUUGGUUUGAGAUCAGAGUGUUAUUGGCAGAUUUUACUAUCAUUUCUUAUAUUAACAAUAGGCUCAUCAAAUAUGUUUUAAAAUUGCAUU